GGAAAGGAAAGAAAAACGAAAAGAAAGAAAAGCCUGAACGGCACAAGGAGACUAAAAAACCCACCAAAAACUUCUUUCUUCUUGGAUUGAUCCACUGUCACUCCCUCGGACAUAGAAAUACUCAAAAUGUUCAGAGCCCUCUCUCUCAGACGUUCCUUCCAAUCUCUCCAUCACCACCACCCCUCUAUAGCUCUCGUCGCCGCCGCCGCCACCGCCACUAGCGGCACUUUGAAAGACCCAUUUAACCCACUACGUGCAUUCUCAACAUCCACUCAGCCUUCUUCUUCUGAUGCUGAGCUUCGCAAGUACCUAGGCUACACAGCGCUUGUCCUUUUCUGUGGAGCCGCCACUUACUAUUCCUUCCCUUUCCCAGAAAACGCCAAGCACAAGAAGGCCCAAAUUUUCCGCUAUGCUCCUCUACCCGAGGAUCUUCACACUGUCUCUAACUGGAGUGGGACCCACGAAGUUCAGACCCGAGCCUUCCACCAGCCCGAGGAUCUCCAACAACUGGAGGAGUUAGUGAAGGAAUCUAAUGAGAAGAAGGCCAAGAUCCGCCCUGUGGGGUCAGGGUUGUCUCCAAAUGGGAUUGGGCUGGCACGGGCGGGGAUGGUUAACUUGGCGCUGAUGGAUAAGAUUCUGGAGGUGGAUAAGGAGAAGAAGAGGGUGAGGGUUCAAGCUGGG
rnacentral:misc_RNA from 1 species